rnacentral:rRNA from 1 species
AUGGACAUGGCCGGGCUCCCUCUCGCCGUCGCCUUCUUCCACCUCUGCCUCCUCCUCUCGUCGUCGUCCUCUCUCCGGGUGCUGCCGGUAGCCCCCGACGCGGCGGCGGAGGAGAGCACGGGCCGCAAUGGCAGUGGCAGGACCGCCUACCACUUCCAGCCCGCCAAGAACUGGAUGAACGAUUUGGGCCGUCUAGAAUGGCCUUUCUAUCUAGACAAAGGGCCCAAACUGUAA